AGUAACGCGUGAGGAACCUGCCCUUCAGAGGGGGACAACAGUUGGAAACGACUGCUAAUACCGCAUGAUACAUUUGAAUCGCAUGGUUUGAAUGUCAAAGAUUUAUCGCUGAAGGAUGGCCUCGCGUCUGAUUAGCUAGUUGGUGGGGUAACGGCCCACCAAGGCGACGAUCAGUAGCCGGACUGAGAGGUUGGCCGGCCACAUUGGGACUGAGACACGGCCCAGACUCCUACGGGAGGCAGCAG
rnacentral:rRNA from 1 species